rnacentral:rRNA from 1 species
AGUGAACGCUGGCGGUAGGCCUAACACAUGCAAGUCGAACGGCAGCACAGUAAGAGCUUGCUCUUACGGGUGGCGAGUGGCGGACGGGUGAGGAAUACAUCGGAAUCUACAUUUUCGUGGGGGAUAACGUAGGGAAACUUACGCUAAUACCGCAUACGACCUACGGGUGAAAGCAGGGGAUCUUCGGACCUUGCGCGAUUGAAUGAGCCGAUGUCGGAUUAGCUAGUUGGCGGGGUAAAGGCCCACCAAGGCGACGAUCCGUAGCUAGUCUGAGAGGAUGAUCAGCCACACUGGAACUGAGACACGGUCCAGACUCCUACGGGAGGCAGCAGUGGGGAAUAUUGGACAAUGGGCGCAAGCCUGAUCCAGCCAUACCGCGUGGGUGAAGAAGGCCUUCGGGUUGUAAAGCCCUUUUGUUGGGAAAGAAAAGCAGCAGGUUAAUACCCCGCUGUUCUGACGGUACCCAAAGAAUAAGCACCGGCUAACUUCGUG